GGCAUUGUAGUAUUAGUUUGGCGAUCAGGUGCACGUGGACGAUUUUGACAUUGUGGUAUUAGUUUGGCGAUCAGGUGCACGUGGACGAUUUUGACAUUGUGGUAUUAGUUUGGCGAUCAGGUGCACGUGGACGAUUUUGGCAUUGUGGUAUUAGUUUGGCGAUCAGGUGCACGUGGACGAUUUUGACAUUGUGGUAUUAGUUUGGCGAUCAGGUGCACGUGGACGAUUUUGACAUUGUGGUAUUAGUUUGGCGAUCAGGUGCACGUGGACGAUUUUGACAUUGUGGUAUUAGUUUGGCGAUCAGGUGCACGUGGACGAUUUUGGCAUUGUGGUAUUAGUUUGGCGAUCAGGUGCACGUGGACGAUUUUGACAUUGUGGUAUUAGUUUGGCGAUCAGGUGCACGUGGACGAUUUUGACAUUGUGGUAUUAGUUUGGCGAUCAGGUGCACG